rnacentral:rRNA from 1 species
GGUUAAGCGACUAAGCGUACACGGUGGAUGCCCUGGCAGUCAGAGGCGAUGAAGGACGUGCUAAUCUGCGAUAAGCGUCGGUAAGGUGAUAUGAACCGUUAUAACCGGCGAUUUCCGAAUGGGGAAACCCAGUGUGUUUCGACACACUAUCAUUAACUGAAUCCAUAGGUUAAUGAGGCGAACCGGGGGAACUGAAACAUCUAAGUACCCCGAGGAAAAGAAAUCAACCGAGAUUCCCCCAGUAGCGGCGAGCGAACGGGGAGGAGCCCAGAGCCUGAAUCAGUGUGUGUGUUAGUGGAAGCGUCUGGAAAGGCGCGCGAUACAGGGUGACAGCCCCGUACACAAAAAUGCACAUAUUGUGAGCUCGAUGAGUAGGGCGGGACACGUGGUAUCCUGUCUGAAUAUGGGGGGACCAUCCUCCAAGGCUAAAUACUCCUGACUGACCGAUAGUGAACCAGUACCGUGAGGGAAAGGCGAAAAGAACCCCGGCGAGGGGAGUGAAAAAGAACCUGAAACCGUGUACGUACAAGCAGUGGGAGCACGCUUAGGCGUGUGACUGCGUACCUUUUGUAUAAUGGGUCAGCGACUUAUAUUCUGUAGCAAGGUUAACCGAAUAGGGGAGCCGAAGGGAAACCGAGUCUUAACUGGGCGUUAAGUUGCAGGGUAUAGACCCGAAACCCGGUGAUCUAGCCAUGGGCAGGUUGAAGGUUGGGUAACACUAACUGGAGGACCGAACCGACUAAUGUUGAAAAAUUAGCGGAUGACUUGUGGCUGGGGGUGAAAGGCCAAUCAAACCGGGAGAUAGCUGGUUCUCCCCGAAAGCUAUUUAGGUAGCGCCUCGUGAAUUCAUCUCCGGGGGUAGAGCACUGUUUCGGCAAGGGGGUCAUCCCGACUUACCAACCCGAUGCAAACUGCGAAUACCGGAGAAUGUUAUCACGGGAGACACACGGCGGGUGCUAACGUCCGUCGUGAAGAGGGAAACAACCCAGACCGCCAGCUAAGGUCCCAAAGUCAUGGUUAAGUGGGAAACGAUGUGGGAAGGCCCAGACAGCCAGGAUGUUGGCUUAGAAGCAGCCAUCAUUUAAAGAAAGCGUAAUAGCUCACUGGUCGAGUCGGCCUGCGCGGAAGAUGUAACGGGGCUAAACCAUGCACCGAAGCUGCGGCAGCGACGCUUAUGCGUUGUUGGGUAGGGGAGCGUUCUGUAAGCCUGCGAAGGUGUACUGUGAGGUAUGCUGGAGGUAUCAGAAGUGCGAAUGCUGACAUAAGUAACGAUAAAGCGGGUGAAAAGCCCGCUCGCCGGAAGACCAAGGGUUCCUGUCCAACGUUAAUCGGGGCAGGGUGAGUCGACCCCUAAGGCGAGGCCGAAAGGCGUAGUCGAUGGGAAACAGGUUAAUAUUCCUGUACUUGGUGUUACUGCGAAGGGGGGACGGAGAAGGCUAUGUUGGCCGGGCGACGGUUGUCCCGGUUUAAGCGUGUAGGCUGGUUUUCCAGGCAAAUCCGGAAAAUCAAGGCUGAGGCGUGAUGACGAGGCACUACGGUGCUGAAGCAACAAAUGCCCUGCUUCCAGGAAAAGCCUCUAAGCAUCAGGUAACAUCAAAUCGUACCCCAAACCGACACAGGUGGUCAGGUAGAGAAUACCAAGGCGCUUGAGAGAACUCGGGUGAAGGAACUAGGCAAAAUGGUGCCGUAACUUCGGGAGAAGGCACGCUGAUACGUAGGUGAAGUCCCUCGCGGAUGGAGCUGAAAUCAGUCGAAGAUACCAGCUGGCUGCAACUGUUUAUUAAAAACACAGCACUGUGCAAACACGAAAGUGGACGUAUACGGUGUGACGCCUGCCCGGUGCCGGAAGGUUAAUUGAUGGGGUCAGCGCAAGCGAAGCUCUUGAUCGAAGCCCCGGUAAACGGCGGCCGUAACUAUAACGGUCCUAAGGUAGCGAAAUUCCUUGUCGGGUAAGUUCCGACCUGCACGAAUGGCGUAAUGAUGGCCAGGCUGUCUCCACCCGAGACUCAGUGAAAUUGAACUCGCUGUGAAGAUGCAGUGUACCCGCGGCAAGACGGAAAGACCCCGUGAACCUUUACUAUAGCUUGACACUGAACAUUGAGCCUUGAUGUGUAGGAUAGGUGGGAGGCUUUGAAGUGUGGACGCCAGUCUGCAUGGAGCCGACCUUGAAAUACCACCCUUUAAUGUUUGAUGUUCUAACGUGGACCCGUAAUCCGGGUUGCGGACAGUGUCUGGUGGGUAGUUUGACUGGGGCGGUCUCCUCCUAAAGAGUAACGGAGGAGCACGAAGGUUGGCUAAUCCUGGUCGGACAUCAGGAGGUUAGUGCAAUGGCAUAAGCCAGCUUGACUGCGAGCGUGACGGCGCGAGCAGGUGCGAAAGCAGGUCAUAGUGAUCCGGUGGUUCUGAAUGGAAGGGCCAUCGCUCAACGGAUAAAAGGUACUCCGGGGAUAACAGGCUGAUACCGCCCAAGAGUUCAUAUCGACGGCGGUGUUUGGCACCUCGAUGUCGGCUCAUCACAUCCUGGGGCUGAAGUAGGUCCCAAGGGUAUGGCUGUUCGCCAUUUAAAGUGGUACGCGAGCUGGGUUUAGAACGUCGUGAGACAGUUCGGUCCCUAUCUGCCGUGGGCGCUGGAGAACUGAGGGGGGCUGCUCCUAGUACGAGAGGACCGGAGUGGACGCAUCACUGGUGUUCGGGUUGUCAUGCCAAUGGCACUGCCCGGUAGCUAAAUGCGGAAGAGAUAAGUGCUGAAAGCAUCUAAGCACGAAACUUGCCCCGAGAUGAGUUCUCCCUGACUCCUUGAGAGUCCUGAAGGAACGUUGAAGACGACGACGUUGAUAGGCCGGGUGUGUAAGCGCAGCGAUGCGUUGAGCUAACCGGUACUAAUGAACCGUGAGGCUUAACCUU